UACAGAGACUGCAAGCGUUGUUCGGAUUCAUUGGGCGUAAAGGGUGCGUAGGCGGUGAGGUAAGUUGGAUGUGAAAUCUCAGGGCCUAACCCUGAAAGUGCAUCCAAAACUGCCUUGCUUGAGGACUGGAGGGGAGACUGGAAUUCUCGGUGUAGCGGUGAAAUGCGUAGAUAUCGAGAGGAACACCAGUGGCGAAGGCGGGUCUCUAGCCAGUUCCUGACGCUGAGGCACGAAAGCCAGGGUAGCAAACGGG
rnacentral:rRNA from 1 species